rnacentral:rRNA from 1 species
UACGUAGGGUGCGAGCGUUGUCCGGAAUUACUGGGCGUAAAGAGCUCGUAGGUGGUUUGUCGCGUUGUCCGUGAAAUUCUCUGGCUUAACUGGGGGCGUGCGGGCGAUACGGGCAGACUGGAGUACUGCAGGGGAGACUGGAAUUCCUGGUGUAGCGGUGGAAUGCGCAGAUAUCAGGAGGAACACCGGUGGCGAAGGCGGGUCUCUGGGCCGAUACUGACGCUGAGGAGCGAAAGCGUGGGGAGCGAACAGG